AUUGAACGCUGGCGGCAGGCCUAACACGUGCAAGUCGAGCGGAUGAAGGGAGCUUGCUCCUGGAUUCAGCGGCGGACGGGUGAGUAAUGCCUAGGAAUCUGCCUGGUAGUGGGGGAUAACGUCCGGAAACGGGCGCUAAUACCGCAUACGUCCUGAGGGAGAAAGUGGGGGAUCUUCGGACCUCACGCUAUCAGAUGAGCCUAGGUCGGAUUAGCUAGUUGGUGGGGUAAAGGCCUACCAAGGCGACGAUCCGUAACUGGUCUGAGAGGAUGAUCAGUCACACUGGAACUGAGACACGGUCCAGACUCCUACGGGAGGCAGCAGUGGGGAAUAUUGGACAAUGGGCGAAAGCCUGAUCCAGCCAUGCCGCGUGUGUGAAGAAGGUCUUCGGAUUGUAAAGCACUUUAAGUUGGGAGGAAGGGCAGUAAGUUAAUACCUUGCUGUUUUGACGUUACCAACAGAAUAAGCACCGACUAACUUCGUG
rnacentral:rRNA from 1 species